rnacentral:rRNA from 1 species
UACGUAGGGUCCGAGCGUUGUCCGGAAUUAUUGGGCGUAAAGGGCUCGUAGGCGGUUCGUCACGUCGGGAGUGAAAACUCGGGGCUUAACCCCGAGCCUGCUUCCGAUGCGGGCAGACUAGAGGUAGGCAGGGGAGAGCGGAACUCCUGGUGUAGCGGUGGAAUGCGCAGAUAUCAGGAAGAACACCAAUGGCGAAAGCAGCUCUCUGGGACGGUACUGACGCUGAGACGCGAAAGCGUGGGGAGCGAACAGG